rnacentral:rRNA from 1 species
UACAGAGGUCCCGAGCGUUGUUCGGAAUUACUGGGCGUAAAGGGCGCGUAGGCGGUCUGUUAAGUCGGAUGUGAAAACUCUGGGCUCAACCCAGAGCCUGCAUCCGAAACUGGCAGGCUAGAGUUCUGGAGGGGGUAGCGGAAUUCCUGGUGUAGCGGUGAAAUGCGUAGAUAUCAGGAGGAACACCGGUGGCGAAGGCGGCUACCUGGACAGAAACUGACGCUGAGGCGCGAAAGCUAGGGGAGCAAACAGG